rnacentral:rRNA from 1 species
GUGAGGAAUAUUGGUCAAUGGGCGCAAGCCUGAACCAGCCAUCCCGCGUGCAGGAAGACGGCCCUAUGGGUUGUAAACUGCUUUUCCGGGGGGAGAAUUUUUCCGUCGUGACGGGAAUUGACGGUACCCCGGGAAUAAGCAUCGGCUAACUCCGUGCCAGCAGCCGCGGUAAUACGGAGGAUGCGAGCGUUAUCCGGAUUUAUUGGGUUUAAAGGGUGCGUAGGCGGAAUGAUAAGUCAGUGGUGAAAACCUGCAGCUUAACUGUAGACUUGCCGUUGAUACUGUCAGUCUUGAGUGUGGUCAAGGUAGGCGGAAUGUGUAAUGUAGCGGUGAAAUGCUUAGAUAUUACACAGAACACCGAUUGCGAAGGCAGCUUACUGGGCCAUUACUGACGCUGAUGCACGAAAGCGUGGGGAUCGAACAGGAUUAGAUACCCUGGUAGUCC